rnacentral:tRNA from 1 species
GUUGUGGCUCAGUGGUAGAGCACUUGCCUAGUACAUGUGAGGCGCUGGGUUCAAUCCUCAGCACAACA